UACUGCCGCACCACCAUGCGCCAUCAGCAGGGGAGCGCACUUGCUGCCACAACGUAGUGUCAUUGUCAUGCAGCCAGUCUUAACAGUCAAUACGGAAGAAGACACUGCCCAACUACAACUUGCAGCUUUUCUCAGCAGAAUAAGAAAAACUGCCUGGGGAUAUACCUAAGCAGCAUCCACACCCCAUGGCAGUUUUGCCAAUUAAAGACGUGGUAAUGCAGCCUACCUGUCUCAGUGAACUGGUGUACCCUGCUGAAGAAGUCUUCAAUGUGGCUUACAUUAGAUACGAGGCUACCUGUCGAAUUACAAAUGUACACCCAUAAGCAAUAAAGACAAUGAUUCACAAAUACA